rnacentral:rRNA from 1 species
UAGGGAAUCUUCCACAAUGGGCGCAAGCCUGAUGGAGCAACGCCGCGUGAGUGAAGAAGGGUUUCGGCUCGUAAAGCUCUGUUGUUAAAGAAGAACAUAUCUGAGAGUAACUGUUCAGGUAUUGACGGUAUUUAACCAGAAAGCCACGGCUAACUACGUGCCAG